rfam:Serendipita vermifera MAFF 305830 unplaced genomic scaffold scaffold_117, whole genome shotgun sequence.
GAGAGCGUGGCCCAAUGGCAGGGCAUCCGUUUCCGGAGCGGAAGGUUGUGGGUUCGAGUCCCAUCGCUCUCG